UAGAUCUCAAAUCAGGCAGGAUUACCCGCUGAACUUAAGCAUAUCAA
rnacentral:rRNA from 1 species